rnacentral:rRNA from 1 species
GACGAACGCUGGCGGCGGGCUUAACACAUGCAAGUCGAACGGAAAGGCCCUGCUUUCGUGUGGUUCUCGCGGGGCGAGGGUGUGAGUAACCCGGGAGUCACCUUCCCUGUACUUUGGGACAACUUCAGGAAACUGGGGCUACUACCUGAUAGGAGCGCCUGCUGCAGGGUGGUGGUUGGACAGUUUCGGCGGUGGUGGAUGGACUCGCGGCUUAUCAGCUUGUGGGUGGGGUAGUGGCUUACCAAGGCAUUGACGGGUGGCCGGCCUGAGAGCUGGACCGGCCACAAUGGGACUGAGAGACGGACCAGACUCCAACGGGAGGCAGCAGUGGAGAAUAUUGCACAGUGGGCGGAAGCCUGAUGCAGAAACCCCGCGUUCGGGAUGACGGCCUUGGGGUUGUAAACCGCUUUCGCCUGUGACGAAGCGUUAGUGACGGUAAUGGGUAAAGAAGCACCGGCUAACUACGUG